AGCAGCUAAUAAGGAGACAUUUGCAAGACAAGUUGAAAGCCUACAAUUACAUCCAAACUGCAAAGGACUGGAGUAGCACACUGAGCACACUACAGCUGGCUCCCAGUUUUCCACUUGUAUAGAAACUAGCCUUGAAGACUUUCUUUGGAGGACCCACACAUCCAUCCACAGGAUGGCCUGGGCUCCAGAGUGGAGAUGCAGAAGGAGGAGAGAGGCCGCAGACUCAGGGAGAAGGAAGGCAAGAAGGGGAAAAGGGGAAAGGAGAGGAUAUCCCUGCUGUCUUGAUUACUGAGCACCUGUGCAUGCACCCAGCCCCCUCUAGCCUGGCCCAGGCAGGCGGUGGGCAUUUACUAAGUGCACACUAGAGCUGGUGGUUAUGCUGAUGCGAUGACGGCACAGUACUCGGUCUGUAAAGUCCAGACUUCUGUCUCUCCCACCCCCUGGGAAUUUCAUAAAUAAAUCUCUGGACCCGUUCCAAGAAGAAUUUCAA